rnacentral:rRNA from 1 species
UACGGAGGUGGCUAGCGUUGUUCGGAAUUACUGGGCGUAAAGGGCGCGUAGGCGGCUUGGCAAGUCAGAUGUGAAAGCCCCGGGCUUAACAUGGGAAUUGCAUCUGAAACUGCCUUGCUUGAGUCCUGGAGGGGGCAGUGGAAUUCCCAGUGUAGCGGUGAAAUGCGUAGAUAUUGGGAGCAACACCUGCGGCGAAGGCGGCUGCCUGGACAGUGACUGACGCUGAGGCGCGAAAGCUAGGGGAGCGAACGGG